rnacentral:rRNA from 1 species
GACGAACGCUGGCGGCGUGCUUAACACAUGCAAGUCGAACGGUGAACUCCGCUUGCGGGGGGAUCAGUGUCGAACGGGUGAGUAACACGUGGGCAACCUGCCCCCAGCUCUGGGAUAACUCCAAGAAAUUGGGGCUAAUACCGGAUACGACCGCUGACCGCAUGGUCUGGGGGCGGAAAGAUUUAUCGGAUGGGGAUGUGCCCGAGGCCUAUCAGCCUGUUGGUUGGGUAGUGGCUUACCAAGGAGACGACGGGUAGCCGGCCUGAGAGGGUGACCGGCCACACUGGGCCUGGGACACGGCCCAGACGCAUACGGGAGGAAGCAGUGGGGAAUAUAGCGCACUGGGCGAAAGCCUGACGCAGCGACGCCGCGUGGGGGAGGACGGCCUUCGGGUAGUAAACCUCUUUCAGGAGGGACGAAGCGAAAGGGACGGUACCUGCAGAAGAAGCACCGGCCAACUACGU